AUUGAACGCUGGCGGCCGGCCUAACACAUGCAAGUCGAACGAGUGGCGGAAGGGUGAGUAAUGUCUGGGAAACUGCCCGAGGGAGGGGGAUAACUACUGGAAACAGUAGCUAAUACCGCAUACCCUCGGAUGUGCCCAGAUGGGAUUAGCUAGUAGGUGGGGUAACGGCUAACCUAGUCGACGAUCCCUAGCUGGUCUGAGAGGAUGACCAGCCACACUGGAACUGAGACAGGGUCCAGACUCCUACGGGAGUAAGCCGUGGGGAAUAUUGCACAAUGGGCGCAAGCCUGAUGCAGCCAUGCCGCGUGUAUGAAGAAGGCCUUCGGGUUGUAAAGUACUUUCAGCGAGGAGGCGUUACUCGCAGAAGAAGCACCGGCUAACGCCGUGCCAGCAGCCGCGGUAAUAC
rnacentral:rRNA from 1 species